rnacentral:piRNA from 1 species
UACCAACUGUGGGCUCACGGAAUGCCUU